GGUUUCCGACUGGUGGAAAAAAAAAAGCAGCUGUUUUGUGGUCAUCAUUACUGUUCUAAAAUACCUAAGGACACAAGGUAAAACUGAUGCUGACUGAUUGCCAUGACCCAGAUGGAUUUGAUCAGAGACGUGUUCGCAUACCACGUUUGCACCACCAGUCCACUUUGCCCAAAGGUUCUUCUUGAUACCGAAAUCCUCAAAAAUUAAGGAAAAAAAUGCUACUAAAACACUGUCUUUAAUCUGGGGAAGAAAUUUGCCUUUGGCUGACCUGUGUACAAAACAAAUCACACCUAGCAAAUUAUAUCUGUUAGUGAAGUUCUUUAAAAUGGUCCUGACCAUUGUCAUUCCCA